AGCGAACGCUGGCGGCAGGCCUAACACAUGCAAGUCGAACGAACUCUUCGGAGUUAGUGGCGGACGGGUGAGUAACACGUGGGAACGUGCCUUUUGGUUCGGAAUAACUCAGGGAAACUUGUGCUAAUACCGAAUGUGCCCUUCGGGGGAAAGAUUUAUCGCCAUUAGAGCGGCCCGCGUCUGAUUAGCUAGUUGGUGGGGUAACGGCUCACCAAGGCGACGAUCAGUAGCUGGUUUGAGAGGAUGACCAGCCACACUGGGACUGAGACACGGCCCAGACUCCUACGGGAGGCAGCAGUGGGGAAUCUUGCGAAAUGGGCGAAAGCCUGACGCAGCCAUGCCGGGUGAAUGAUGAAGGUCUUAGGAUUGUAAAAUUCUUUCAACGGGGACGAUAAUGACGGUACCCGGAGAAGAAGCCCCGGCUAACUUCGUG
rnacentral:rRNA from 1 species